CAAAAGCUUGGUCCUGACUUUACUAUCAGCAUUGGUCAAAUUUAUACAUGCAAGUAUCCGCAACCCUGUGAGAAUGCCCUUAAUAUUCCCUGAAACCGGGAAAAAAGGAGCAGGUAUUAGGCACGACCCUACAGUCAGCCCACAACGCCUUGCUUAGCCACACCCCCAAGGGACUUCAGCAGUAAUAGACAUUAAGCCAUAAGUGAAAACUUGACUUAGUUAAAACCAAGAGGGCCGGUUAAACUCGUGCCAGCCACCGCGGUUAUACGAGAGGCCCAAGUUGAUAAAUCGCCGGCGUAAAAAGUGGCCAAUAAUGACACAUCACUAAAGCCAAACAUCUUCAAAGCUGUCAUACGCACUCGAAGACAGGAAGCCCCUCCACGAAAGUGGCUUUAAAACAUAUGCCUCCACGAAAGCUAGGAUACAAACUGGGAUUAGAUACCCCACUAUGCCUAGCCCUAAACACAGGUGAUAUCUUUACACCUCCAUCGCUUGCCAGGGAACUACGAGCCCCAGCUUAAAACCCAAAGGACUUGGCGGUGCUUUAGACCCCCCUAGAGGAGCCUGUUCUAGAACCGAUAACCCCCGUUAAACCUCACCCUCUCUUGUUUUCUCCCGCCUAUAUACCGCCGUCGUCAGCUUACCCUAUGAAGGAUGCACAGUAAGCAUAAUUGGUACAACCUAAAACGCCAGGUCGAGGUGUAGCGUACGAGAGGGGAAGAAAUGGGCUACAUUCACUGAAACAGUGAACAACGGACGAUGCGUUGAAAUAAGUAUCUAAAGGAGGAUUUAGCAGUAAGAGAGGAAAUAGAGUGUCCCUCUGAAACCGGCCCUGAAGCGCGCACACACCGCCCGUCACUCUCCCCAAAUUAAUACUAAUUAAUAAAUAAACAUAGAACUAAAAAAACAAAGGGGAGGCAAGUCGUAACAUGGUAAGUGUACCGGAAGGUGUACUUGGAAAAA
rnacentral:ncRNA from 1 species